UACGUCCUCCCUGGGUUGUGUAACAACGGGUUACAGAGAUGCCUGUAAGUGGAGUUGCCAGCAGACAGAACAACCUCGGGAAAUGAUGACUAGGAGUCUUGCGAUAAGAGACAACGUCAUUUACUGCCUGACGAAAUUGCAGACAGGAAGGGAAGUUUCCCACUACAGUACAGAAUCUCAACAACCUGCUUCAUACAUAGCGUUCAGUUGGCCUCACUUUUGAUUAAGAUUAAGGGGCCCCAAUCUCAGGACGUGAGCACACAACUGUCAUGAUCUGGAAUGCACUCACUGAAAGGAUGGUGGAAGCAGUUUCAGUGCCAACUUUCAAAAUGUUUACAGGACUGUGGGCAAAAAAAGCAGGAGAGCGAGGUUGGUUAGGCAGCCCCCUGCCAUACAGCACUUUGGAUCAAAUGCCCUCCUCCAAUCCUGUCGGGCUGACACUCCAAUGCAGUCAUACCUUGUCGGACAGUGCCACAUUUUUGCCCAAGCCUCCUGACUGUGCUGUUUCACUAUAGCACCAGGUAUUGUCCAAGCGGCUAUUUUCUACACAUUUGCUCACCUUCAGCUUUCGACUCAUUGGGCCAGUGUGGUAAAUGUACUGGAAAUGCCACUGAGUCACAUUUCCCCUGGUUGGGGGAAAUCCAGAACAAGGGAACACAGAUUUAAAAUUAGUCCUGGACCGUUCUGGAUUGAAAUCGGGAAGUGUUUUUUUUCACACAAAGGAUAGUGGAAAUCUGGAAACUACACUUCCAAAAGGCCAUGGAUGCUGGAUCAAUUAAAAUUUUGAAGACUGAGAUUGGUAUAAUUUUAUUCGGUGUUGCCUUUCAGAUCAGAUGUCAACUGAGGCCCUGAUUGCACAUUCAAAUGGCCAUAAAAUAUCCUAUGGUAUUACCGGAAGAAGGGCCAACAUUUGUCUGUCAAACAACACCACCAAAACAGACUAACUGGUCACUCAUUUGUGGAAUCUUGAUCUGUUUGCCUACAAAAGUACAGUGACUUCAAUGACUUAAGUAAUUUAUCAGCUGUGAAUCAUAGUGGUGUAUACAACAGAUAUAAAAGGUAAUUCCGCAAGUCUUUAUUUUCUUUUCUCCACAGAUAUUUAUAGUUGUAAGGACAGUCAACGUGAGAUGAAAAGAAGGGGAUUUAAAUAGAGGGUAUGGACAGAAUGUACAAAUCUCUCAAAUACUACUUAUAAAACUCCUAAGUUACCAAACAAGAAAUUUAUGACCACAUUUUUGCAUAUUUUCCAUUCCACCAUAUACAGACAGGACAACAGCAGCUAAGCAGUGAGUCACUGUGUUAACCAAAUCACAUAGUUCUGACUAGGUUAUAGGGAAUGGAUAAAAGCCUGUGAGAUCUCACUUCUGCUGUUCAUGCCAUUACCAUAUCUAGUUAAGGUAGUGUGUAAGGCUGUGUUCUCUUCAUUACUUGAUCCAUGCUGAGUGAGCAGUUGAGAUGACAGUGACAGUGGUUCACUUAGUUUCACUGACUGCCUGGAUUAAGGAGUAGAACAUCAGUCAAAGUGUUUUGCGCCUGAUUGUGAACUAACAAGGCUUGCACCGUAUGUGGACAUUGGCUAAAGAUAGUAGCGGGUUCAGCUGCAAUGCAUCAUCUCCAAUCAGAGUGCUGAUUUGCAUUAUCAGGGCCAACAGCAACAAACAAUAAUAACAACAAAGACCAACAAGACCAACAGCUUACAUUUAUACAGCACUUUAAUGUAAAGAAUGUCCCAAGAUACAUCAGCGAUAGGCAUGAAGAAUAAUAAUAGGUUACUGGACAACUAGUACCUGUGGAAUGAUUCCUGGUCUUAUCUUGAACUCAAGUCCUUCACCAACAUGGUUGAUUCUUAACUGCCUUCUGCAGCGACUAAACUAAGUCACUCUGUUGUAGGAAACCACUAUUUGAAGAAGACACACUACCAGCUUCUUAAAGGAAACAACAGAUGGGCAAUAAAUUCUGAGCUUACUAGCAACACACACAUUUCAAGAAUGAACGUAUGAAAAUAAAAGGAAAUCACUUACAUACUUGUAAAGGUGUUUUAUCAGUGCUUCUUUUAAAAGGAAAUAAACCCCAAAGCACAGAAUAAA